rnacentral:misc_RNA from 1 species
GAUGAAGAACGCAGCGAAAUGCGAUAAGUAAUGUGAAUUGCAGAAUUCAGUGAAUCAUCGGAUCUUUGAACGCACAUUGCGCCCGCCAGCACUCUGGCGGGCAUGCCUGUUCGAGCGUCAUUUCAACCAUCAAGCCCCCAGGGGCUUGUGCUGGGGCCCUGCGGCUGCCCGCAGGCCCUGAAAACCAGUGGCGGGCUCGCUAGUCACACCGAGCGCAGUAGCACAUCUCGCUCAGGGCGUGCGGCGGGCUCCUGCCGUGAAACCCCCCACUGUAACCCCAAAGGUUGACCUCGGAUCAGGUAGGAAUACCCGCUGAACUUAAGCAUAUCAAUAAGCGGAGGA